GUUCAGUGUCUGCAUGCAGAGGGAGGAGAUACUGAAUGUUUGGAUGCAUUUUAGGCAGCCAUGACCCAGGAAGGAUCUCUAACAGCCAUCUAAGGAGUAGCCAGUGAAGUUAUCACUAGACUGUAAUGUAAACACUGCAUUUUUUCUGAAAAGACAGUGUUUACAGCAAAAAGCCUGACGGUAAUGAUUCUACUCACCAGAACAAAUUCAAUAAGCUAAAGUUGUUCUGGUGACUAUAGUGUCCCUUUAAAUUAAUAAUGAUUUAAAAACAAAUAUUCAUUCCUUCUUUCCUGUUGUUACCUAGUUGGGAGAGGG